rnacentral:lncRNA from 1 species
GUCCUUCUGGGUCUCUAUGGGUCUCUAUGAGUCCCUAGGGUUCCUAUAGGGCUCUAUGGGCCUCUAUGGGUCCUUAUCGGUCUCUAUGGGGCUCUAUGGGGCUCUGUGGGUCUCUAUGGGUCCCUAUGUGUCCCUAUGGGUCUUUAUGGGAUCUGUGGGUCUCUAUUGGGUCCCUAUGUGUCCCUAUGGGUCUCUAUGGGUCUCUAUGGGUCCCUAUGGGGCUCUGUGGGUCCCUAUGGGUCUCUAUGUGUCCCUAUGGGUCUCUAUGGGUCUCUAUGUGUCCCUAUGGGUCUCUAUGGGUCUCUAUGGGUCGCUAUGGGUCUCUAUGUGUCCCUAUGGGUCUCUAUGUGUCUCUAUGGGUCUCUAUGGGGCUCUAUGGGUCUCUAUGGGUCUCUAUUGGUCCCUAUGAGUCUCUAUGGGUCUCUAUUGGUCCCUAUGAGUCUCUAUGGGGCUCUAUGGGUCUCUAUGGGGCUCUAUGGGUCUCUAUGGGUCUCUGUGCGUCUCUAUGGGUCUCUAUGGGUCUGUAUUGGUGUCUGUGGGUCCCUAUGGGUACCUGUGGGUCCUUAUCAGUCUCUAUAGGGCUCUAUGGGUCUCUAUGGGUCUCUAUGGGUCUCUAUAGGGCUCUGUGGGUCUCUAUGGGUCCGUAUGGGUCCCUAUGGGUCUUUAUGGGAUCUGUGGGUCUCUAUUGGGUCCCUAUGGGUCCCUAUGGGUCCCUAUGGGUCUCUAUGGGUCUCUAUGUGUCCCUAUGGGUCGCUGUGGGUCCCCGUGUGUCCCUAUGGGUCUCUAUGGGUCCCCCUGUGUCCCCCUGUGUCCCUAUGGGUCCCCAUGUGUCCCUAUGGGUCGCUGUGUCCCCCUGUGUCCCUAUGGGUCUCAAUGUGUCCCUAUGGGUCGCUGUGUCCCCGUGUCCCUAUGGGUCCCCAUGUGUCCCUAUGUGUCCCCCUGUGUCCCCGUGUCCCUAUGGGCGGCCAUGGGUCCCGCAGACGUUCGGGCGCCGCGCUCUGCCCGCCCUGCACUGGCUUUUCCCGCUGGCCGUCACCUUGUCCACCUUCGGCGGCGUCAACGGAUCCCUGUUCACCUGCUCCAGGUCUGCCCCAUAGCCGCCCCAUAGCCGCCCCAUAGCCACCCCAUAGCCACCCCAUGGCCGCCCCAUAGCUGCCCCAUAGAGACCCCAUAGAUACCCCAUAGCUGCCCCACAGCCGCCCCAUAGAUACCCCAUAACUGCCCCAUAGAUACCCCAUAGCUGCCCCAUAGCCGCCCCAUAGCUGCCCUAUAGCUGCCUCAUGGCUGCCCCACGGCUGCCCCACAGCUGCCCCAUAACUGCCCCAUAGCCGCCCCAUGGC